rnacentral:piRNA from 1 species
UAGAAGCUGAUAUUAAAUAAUGAAG